GCUGAACGCGGAGCUGCGGCUGCUGUGAUGUGGAGCGGCUGCCGGCGUCUCGGGGCGCGCCUCGGCUGCCUGCCCGGCGGUCUCCGGGCCCUCUUCCAGACCGGCCACCGGAGCUUGAGCUCCUGCAUCGACCCUUCCGUGGGACUUAAUGAAGAGCAGAAAGAAUUUCAGAAAGUGGCCUUUGACUUUGCUGCCCGAGAGAUGGCUCCAAAUAUGGCAGAGUGGGACCAGAAGCAUGUGUGCCUGGAUGAUUGAUAGCUUCGGAAAUGAGGAACAGAGGCACAAAUUUUGCCCACCACUCUGUACCAUGGAGAAGUUUGCUUCCUACUGCCUCACUGAACCAGGAAGUGGGAGUGAUGCUGCCUCUCUUCUGACCUCCGCUAAGAAACAGGGAGACCAUUACAUCCUCAGUGGCUCCAAGGUACUAGCGUGCGCCCUCCCAGAGCACUUCGGAGAUUGUUCCCAGCUUCCUCCUGACAUCUUCUGGUUCCUUCACAUCUGCGGGUUUAUACUCCCAUAGGAUUUUUAUGUGUUGGGAAGAGAACCUCUGACCCAUUUCUCUUUCUUUCUUCUCACUGUUUCUAUCUCUCCUAAUCUGAUUCCAGAUCAUUUCAUUGACUUUUGUCUAUCCUUUUUAUACUCUCUUCAACUGUGUCUCUGAUUCCGCAGUCAGUGCAGCUACCUUUUACCCCACCUCAGUGUCUGUGCCAUUGGACCUUAUUGUUAGGAGGACCCCAGUGGGGCUCCCAGACGCUGUGAGAACUCAAGCAUUCCCUGGAAGACCCCAGUGGGGCUCCCAGACGCUGUGAGAACUCAAGCAUUCCCUCGUCCUUUUGCACCCCUUCUACCCCCACAGGCCUUCAUCAGUGGUGCUGGUGAGUCAGACAUCUAUGUGGUCAUGUGCCGAACAGGAGGACCAGGCCCCAAGGGCAUCUCAUGCAUAGUUGUUGAGAAGGGGACCCCUGGCCUCAGCUUUGGCAAGAAGGAGAAAAAGGUGAGUGGCUGUUGGACAGGAAACAAUUCAGAUUAUGAGACUCUGCCACCUGCCAGCCCAACUCCUGCUCUAUUUCAGAAAACAGGUUUGCAUACUUGCUAACCUACCUUUGAAGCAGUUGCUUCUAUUAGGAUUUUCAACAGGAGCAUAUGAAAUACAACAGGGCAUUGUUAAAUAAACACUG
rnacentral:sRNA from 1 species